GGAUUGUAGUCUGCAACCCGACUACAUGAAGCUGGAAUCGCUAGUAAUCGCGGAUCAGAAUGCCGCGGUGAAUACGUUCCCGGGUCUUGUACACACCGCCCGUCACACCAUGGGAGUCGGAAAUGCCCGAAGUCUGUGACCUAACCGAGAGGGAGGAGCAGCCGAAGGCAGGUCUGAUGACUGGGGUGAAGUCGUAACAAGGUAAC
rnacentral:rRNA from 1 species